rnacentral:rRNA from 1 species
CCUACGGGAGGCAGCAGUAGGGAAUCUUCCACAAUGGGCGAAAGCCUGAUGGAGCAACGCCGCGUGGGUGAAGAAGGUCUUCUGAUCGUAAAACCCUGUUGUUAGAGAAGAAAGUUCGUGAGAGUAACUGUUCACGUUUCGACGGUAUCUAACCAGACAGCCACGGCUAACUACGUGCCAGCAGCCGCGGUAAUACGUAGGUGGCAAGCGUUAUCCGGAUUUAUUGGGCGUAAAGGGAACGCAGGCGGUCUUUUAAGUCUGAUGUGAAAGCCUUCGGCUUAACCGGAGUAGUGCAUUGGAAACUGGGAGACUUGAGUGCAGAAGAGGAGAGUGGAACUCCAUGUGUAGCGGUGAAAUGCGUAGAUAUAUGGAAGAACACCAGUGGCGAAAGCGGCUCUCUGGGCUGUAACUGACGCUGAGGUUCGAAAGCGUGGGAAGCAAACAGGAUUAGAUACCCGGGUAGUC